AUGAGAGUUUGAUCCUGGCUCAGAACGAACGCUGGCGGCAGGCCUAACACAUGCAAGUCGGACGAGAAGGU
rnacentral:rRNA from 1 species